CCUACGGGAGGCAGCAGUGAGGAAUAUUGGUCAAUGGACGAGAGUCUGAACCAGCCAAGCAGCGUGAAGGAUGACUGCCCUAUGGGUUGUAAACUUCUUUUAUAUGGGAAUAAAAUGUUCCACGUGUGGGAUUUUGUAUGUACCAUAUGAAUAAGGAUCGGCUAACUCCGUGCCAGCAGCCGCGGUAAUACGGAGGAUCCGAGCGUUAUCCGGAUUUAUUGGGUUUAAAGGGAGCGUAGGUGGAUUGUUAAGUCAGUUGUGAAAGUUUGCGGCGCAACCGUAAAAUUGCAGUUGAAACUGGCAGUCUUGAGUACAGUAGAGGUGGGUGGAAUGCGUGGUGUAGCGGUGAAAUGCUUAGAUAUCACGAAGAACUCCGAUUGCGAAGGCAGCUCACUGGACUGCAACUGACACUGAGGCGCGAAAGUGUGGGUAGCAAACAGGAUUAGAUACCCCUGUAGUC
rnacentral:rRNA from 1 species